rnacentral:rRNA from 1 species
UCUUGGGUCAUUUAGAGGAAGUAAAAGUCGUAACAAGGGUUUCCGUAGGGUGAACCUGCGGAAGGAUCAUUA